ACCGCCUCCUGUUGCUGAACUGUCCGUUUCCCACUACUCGUGUCAAUGAAUUAUUUAUACUGUGACUCUGAUGCAAAAUACAAAUAGAUAUUAUAAGUUUUACUUUCUUCGGCUGAUUUCAUUUUACUGAUGAUCCAAAACGGCGCCUUUCCGUGCAAGAUUUCGUCACAAACGAAGAGGAAGGCAAUUCAGGACCCUAUAUCAAUUACCGAGAGGUAUUUGCCAGGUUUGAACUCUCUCCGGGACAAUAUGUUAUUAUUCCUGCUACCUUCGAGCCACAUCGGCAAGGAUCUUUCAUGAUUCGCGUUUACACUGAUUGUCCAUUUGAUCUCAGGGAACUCAGGUGACUGCGUAUUCAGCCGAAGCUUAUGAAUACAUUUUCACAGGAAGCCUUGAAGAAUGAAAUUGAAAUAAUUCAGCUACUAAGAAAAAGGACAGUAUUCAAUAUGUGAUGUAAGCACAUUUCUUCUAUGCUCAAAUGCAGAUUUUAAACAAAGGACAUUUUCAGAAAUCUGUGCCUUUUUACAACAAAUUAAAUAAUAGAAAGAACUUUUAACGAUAUAUUCGAACAAGUAAACUUUUAUGAAUAUUUAAAAUUAAAAGGCAUUGAGUGAAAUGUAAAUUGUGAAUUGCUGCAAAGGCCCAGUGUAAUGACAUGAAGUGGAUUUAUGUAUACUAAAUUGCUCAGAUGUUUCUAAAAUUCAUUAAAAUCUUCUGAAUACAUUAUUAACCUUUA